rnacentral:rRNA from 1 species
UACGGAGGGUGCGAGCGUUGUCCGGAAUCACUGGGCGUAAAGGGCGCGUAGGCGGCAUGCCAAGCGUGUGGUGAAAGCCCGGGGCUCAACCCCGGGUCGGCCGUGCGGACUGGCGUGCUCGAGCACUGUAGGGGCGGGUGGAAAUCCGGGUGUAGCGGUGGAAUGCGUAGAGAUCCGGAAGAACACCGGUGGCGAAGGCGGCCCGCUGGGCAGGAAGGCUCGCAAGAGCCGGCUGACGCUGAGGCGCGACAGCGUGGGGAGCAAACAGG